rnacentral:rRNA from 1 species
UACAGAGGGUGCAAGCGUUGUCCGGAUUUACUGGGCGUAAAGAGCGCGCAGGCGGUCGAUCAAGUCGAGUGUGAAAGCCCCCGGCUCAACUGGGGAGGGUCAUUCGAUACUGAUCGACUCGAAGGCAGGAGAGGGUAGUGGAAUUCCCGGUGUAGUGGUGAAAUGCGUAGAUAUCGGGAGGAACACCAGUGGCGAAGGCGGCUCACUGGACCGGUACUGACGCUGAUGCGCGAAAGCGUGGGGAGCAAACAGG